rnacentral:rRNA from 1 species
GACGAACGCUGGCGGCGUGCUUAACACAUGCAAGUCGAGCGGUAAGGCCCUUUCGGGGGUACGACGAGCGGCGAACGGGUGAGUAACACGUGGGUGACCUGCCCUCAGCUCUGGGAUAAGCCUGGGAAACCGGGUCUAAUACUGGAUAUGACUCCAUGACGCAUGUUGUGGGGUGGAAAGCCUUGUGCGGCCGAUGUCUGAUUAGCUAGUUGGCGGGGUAAAAGCCCACCAAGGCGACGAUCAGUAGCUGGUCUGAGAGGACGACCAGCCACACUGGGGACUGAGACACGGCCCAGACUCCUACGGGAGGCAGCAGUGGGGAAUUUUGGACAAUGGGCGCAAGCCUGAUCCAGCCAUGCCGCGUGCGGG